rnacentral:misc_RNA from 1 species
UCAAAAAAAAAAAAAAAAAUCCAUUUUGCAUCUUAUUGAAACAAGUUAUUGAUUUUGUUCACUAAGGUGGAAGAUGAGUAUGAACACAAUACUUGAAAUAUGUUGGCUCCGCUUGAGCCCUAAGAGCACCAAAAGGUAAUGCUUAAAGUAGCUUAAAAUGUUUUGUUGAGAUUCCUCAAGUAGCUCUUAACGCUUAGAGGGUCCACAUGAUUCAAACCAGCAAUUUUUAUUUACAUUUAAAUUACACUUUAGCAUUAUGUUACAAAUUGCACAUGACCUAGACCCUUUAGAUACAACUGAGAUGGAAUCAAUAAUCUAGGAACUCGAUUGAUAAAAUUGAAAAUAUAUGAUACAAUUAAAAAGCAAGGAAAGUUCAAGAUUUACUUGACCAUUAAACUUGAAUAAAUAUUGGUAUGAUUGUAAUUGCUUUUGCGACUUUGAUUAUAGGAUAGUAGUCCACACAAAGAUAUUGAAGUUGCAUUUGUGAUAGCUUCAUUUAAUGUUUUAUUAUAUUAAAAUAAAAUCUCUAAAACGUGUAGGGAUUUAAAUAUGGAAUGUAAACAUUGGGAAGGAACAUUUAAUUUUAGAAUUUGAAAGCAGGAAGAAAUAUUUGCAAAGACUGUCUAUUACUACUUUUUUCUUGCCUAUCAUUGUUUGUGGGAAUAUUUUUUUUGUUUAAAUACUUUUUAUAGUAAAUUCUUCAUUUGAAAAUUGUUAGGAAUGGAGGAUGAUUGCUUGUUCAGCCUUAAAAGUUUUCUAGUCAUGUUGUGUUCUAUAUUCUGUUGUUAGCAUUAAUAACUUAAGGAUAGCUGAAUGGUCAAAAAUCAAAGCAGUUGCUAAAAAAGUUCAAGUUGCUAAGUAGCUGCUUAUGUCAGUAAUCUGCUUUCUUCUGUUAAAAACCUACCUAGAAUCUGGGAGACUAAUAGCUGUGCAUGGCUGCUGUGUUGAAUCUUUGAGAUCAGUAAAGAAAUGGCACAAAAUUCUUUUUUUUUUUUGUCACUCUCUUAUAUUUGUCUCUUUACUUUGCAAUCUCUCUUCUUCUCUCUCUGUCCACUCCUUUCUUGGUAGAAACAUUCAUAGUUGAGGCACCUGUGCUUCAGUGGGUCCAAGCAAUUUAGUAGCAGAGUAAUACAAUCUGAAAAGAUCAAAACACUUCCUGACGUACUAACAACAUGGCUUGCCUGUUAACAUUGCUUCUGAUAGAGAGGUUUUUCACCAAUCUCUGUUGGCAAGAAUUGUUUGAGGUUUUUGUGUGCAACUCCGAAUCCCUACCAUCUAUAAAGUAAUGGAAAAUUUGAGAAAUUGAAUAGAUGCUUGGAAAGGAAUCUUAGGCACCUGACAUUUUAGAAACCUCCAUCUUUGUAGGCGAACCUCUGUAUCUAUCGGAAAACACUUAAAGCUAUUUGCCAAGUUUUAUGGUCCAUUUCCAGUACUCGAGGAGGGAUCAGUUAGGGAUGGCGACGUAUCGGGUAUUUGCGGGUACCUGAUCCGCGAAUACUAAUCCUAAUAAGACAAGUUUGAGUGGUAUAUAAUCAGGUUUAGGACUAGUUUGGGUUUGAAUAUUAAUGCCUGUGACGAAUUCGGGUCGGAUUCGAGUUUUAUAUGUUAGGUAUUUGUUACACGAAUCUGUUUAUAUAAAUAAAUUAAAUAUAAAAUAUGUUUUUUAUAAUAAUAUUUA